AUUGACCGCUGGCGGCAGGCCUAACACAUGCAAGUCGAACGAGUGGCGGACGGGUGAGUAAUGUAUGGGCAACUGCCCGAUGGAGGGGGAUAACUACUGGAAACGGUAGCUAAUACCGCAUACCAUCGGAUGUGCCCAUAUGGGAUUAGCUUGGAGGUGGGGUAACGGCUAACCUAGGCGACGAUCCCUAGCUGGUCUGAGAGGAUGACCAGCCACACUGGAACUGAGACACGGUCCAGACUCCUACGGGAGGCAGCAGUGGGGAAUAUUGCACAAUGGGCGCAAGCCUGAUGCAGCCAUGCCGCGUGUAUGAGGAAGGCCUUCGGGUUGUAAAGUACUUUCAGCGGGGAGGCGUUACCCGCAGAAGAAGCACCGGCUAACUCCGUGCCAGCAGCCGCGGUAAUAC
rnacentral:rRNA from 1 species